AGUGAACGCUGGCGGUAUGCCUAACACAUGCAAGUCGAACGGCAGCACAGUAAGAGCUUGCUCUUACGGGUGGCGAGUGGCGGACGGGUGAGGAAUACAUCGGAAUCUACUUUUUCGUGGGGGAUAACGUAGGGAAACUUACGCUAAUACCGCAUACGACCUACGGGUGAAAUCAGGGGAUCUUCGGACCUUGCGCGAUUGAAUGAGCCGAUGUCGGAUUAGCUAGUUGGCGGGGUAAAGGCCCACCAAGGCGACGAUCCGUAGCUGGUCUGAGAGGAUGAUCAGCCACACUGGAACUGAGACACGGUCCAGACUCCUACGGGAGGCAGCAGUGGGGAAUAUUGGACAAUGGGCGCAAGCCUGAUCCAGCCAUACCGCGUGGGUGAAGAAGGCCUUCGGGUUGUAAAGCCCUUUUGUUGGGAAAGAAAAGCAGCAGGUUAAUACCCCGCUGUUCUGACGGUACCCAAAGAAGAAGCACCGGCUAACUUCGUG
rnacentral:rRNA from 1 species